rnacentral:siRNA from 1 species
UUGUCCCAGCAAAGGUCGAUC